CUCCUCUGGUUCUCUUCCAUGGUCUGAGGAACUGGGGCUGUGAAAAUAGAAACAAUCCCUAUGUAUUCUCUACUCUGCACAAGCUGGAGUCUCCUCAUCCUUGGCCAUGUGUGGCUGGCACGUAGACUUGCAGACUGGAGAUGCCCUGGAAUUGAACUCACUGCCCCAUGUUUGCAGAACAGUUAAGAAAAAACAUACCUGGAGAACCUUACUAGGAAGAUUUUGAGGGCUGAAAGUUAUGGCUGCUUUGAGCUCUCAAGGGAACUGAUGCCUGGGAUCCUAAGGAUCUGAAUACAUGGAGAAGGACAAAGAAAUUUCCAAUCUGAGGUCUUUGGAUCCUUAAGCCAAUAGAACAGAAUAGAGAGGAGAGCUGCUAACCAAACACUUCGGUCUUCUUGUCUAAAGAUCUCAACUUAUGGAGUCCAUGACCCUGGAUUUGCAUGGGUGGAUGUUCUGGGCCAUUGCUACAUCAUGGAUGUUUUCCCGGCCUGUGGGUUGUGUGGGGACCUGAUUUGAUGCUGAACCACGGAUUCCAAGUCCAAGACAAAGAGAGCUCUCCCAGCAAAACUCCUGAAGUACAGCAGAAGAAUAAAGGGAAUAAAAAGGAAGCCAAAAGACAGAAAAUACAGAAAGGAAGGGAAGAAAAAAAGCAGAGACAACAGGCUGAGUAUCUAAGAGUGGAAGGAGGGAAGGAAUGAAAAAGAGGGAGUAAUGGAAGUGAGAGUAGGGUAGAGAGUAUGAUGAAUUGAAAGGACUGACAUAUUUUUGACCUCUAGAUGGCAUUUCUCGAGACCCUGAAGCUCAUGAACAAAGUCCAGAAUCUCAUGGGCACUGGCUGAUUCCAAGAAAUGAGAUAUAUAUGCAGAAAGGUAUCUAAAAAACAGGUCAGAGGCAAUUGGGGGAGAUUCCUAACCUUGAUCAGCAAGUUACCCACAUAUCUGUGCCCCAGUUGAUGAAUCCGAAAUAGUGUUCCUCAUCACUGUGCAAACAUGGCCGCCUCGAGAUCACAAAGCCCAUAUUCGCAAGUAGCUGAAUUUAUUACUCAGAGAAGCAAGCUGGCUAACCGCAGAACCUGCCAGUUGGCUCAAGCUACCUUCACUUUAAUAUUUGAACCAGAAGCUGAAGCACUCCUCACCCACUACCAGACUUGCCAAGGAAAAGCUUAUGGAGGUGUUGAUAAGAACAGCAAAGCAAUUCCACUGGAUGGCAGUGUAGUAUCAAGAAUGUGAAGAUACCCUUCUUACAGGUUCUCUCCCUCCGCCCUUCUUGGAGUGAAAAAAAAAAAAAAAACUGAAACAGUUCAACAUAACACUUGACUCUGAUAUAUGUUAGAUAGAAAUUGGUUCCUUAUGUCUACAGUACCUAUUAUCACUGAUCUGACCUGGGUGGUCUCUGUUUCAGUGUAUUAAGAUAUUCUCCCACAAGGACAGGGACCAUCCUCAAGGCAUAAGGGCCAAACAGGAAAACCCAAUGAGGAUCCCUUCCCCUGGAUGCAAGGGUCAGGAGAAGCCAUAGAAACAAACUUCUAGCCAGAGACUUAGUCUGGGGCACAGUACAGCACCAUCAGUUCAGCACUCGAGUUCGCACUAAAUUCGGAACUGCAAAGCUAGAAAGAAGAGUCAGAAGACGCAAUACAUAUAAAUUCUUCAGAAGAAACGGGACCUUGGGCUGAGUACAAGUCCCUCCUGUGCUACCAAGAUAUAUCUAUUCUUCAGUCCUUUGCCCCCAGACAUUUUGAGAGAAAACACACUGAAUUAUUGGUGGGAACAUUAAGAACAGAUCACUUGCUGACAGUAUUGAACCAAGAAGCCAAGGUACCCAUCUUUCAGGUUCUCUCCCUCCACCCUUCUUUGAUAAACAACAACAACAACAACACCACACACACACACACACACACACACACACACACACACACACACACACACACAUUUUGCCAAUAAAUCCCAAGUUGACUGACCUUAAUCAUGGCCUCCUUUGGCCAGAGAUGGGCUUUGGAGCUUCACUGUAUACAUACUGUCUCGGAGGUCACAGGCCACACAAGUUCCUCAUUCCCAGUCCAACACAAGAACGUGGCAUGCCCUCAGAAACAUACAGGAA
rnacentral:lncRNA from 1 species